rnacentral:sRNA from 1 species
AGGGGGUGCCUUUCAGGCAUCCUCUCCUAAAACUUUCAGGCCGGCCCAAUGGGUCGGCCAUUUUUUUGCAUGAU